ACCGUGGCUUACUUGGUUAAAGUGCCUGUCUAGUAAACAGGAGAUCCUGGGUUCGAAUCCCAGCAGU
rnacentral:tRNA from 1 species